UACGGAGGGGGCUAGCGUUGUUCGGAAUUACUGGGCGUAAAGCGCGCGUAGGCGGCUUUGUAAGUUAGAGGUGAAAGCCCGGAGCUCAACUUCGGAAUUGCCUUUAAGACUGCAUCGCUUGAAUCAUGGAGAGGUCAGUGGAAUUCCGAGUGUAGAGGUGAAAUUCGUAGAUAUUCGCAAGAACACCAGUGGCGAAGGCGGCUCACUGGCCCGAUACUGACGCUGAGGUGCGAAAAGCGUGGGGGAGCAAACAGG
rnacentral:rRNA from 1 species